UACGGAGGGGGCUAGCGUUGUUCGGAAUUACUGGGCGUAAAGCGCACGUAGGCGGACUGUUAAGUCGGGGGUGAAAUCCUGGGGCUCAACCCCAGAAUUGCCUCCGAUACUGGCAGUCUCGAGUGCGGGAGAGGUGAGUGGAAUUCCCAGUGUAGAGGUGAAAUUCGUAGGUAUUGGGAAGAACACCAGUGGCGAAGGCGGCUCACUGGCCCGUAACUGACGCUGAGGUGCGAAAGCGUGGGGAGCAAACAGG
rnacentral:rRNA from 1 species